rnacentral:rRNA from 1 species
UCAAAUCUUCUUCAGAAGCACGUCAAGUACGUUUGGUCUCCGGAGUGUGAUAUUGCUUUCAACUCUUUGAAAGAGAAAUUGGUCACUGCUCCAGUUCUGACUCCGCCUGAUGAAACCAAGCCGUACGAGGUCUUUUGUGAUGCCUCUCUCCAAGGUCUCGGUGCUGUACUGAUGCAAGAGAAGAAAGUUGUUGCUUAUACUUCUCGCCAGUUGAAACCUAAUGAGAAGAACUACCCCACUCAUGAUCUCGAGUUGGCGGCAGUGGUACACGCUUUGUUAACUUGGAGACAUCUUCUAUUGGGAAGGAAAGUGGAUAUUUUCACUGAUCACAAGAGUCUCAAGUACAUCUUCACUCAGCCUAAUCUCAACCUCAGGCAGACUCGAUGGGUCGAAAUGAUUCAAGAGUAUAAUCCGAGUAUCGAGUAUACUCCAGGCAAGGCUAAUGUGAUUGCUGACGCUUUGAGCAGAAAAGCAUAUUGCAACAGUCUGAUUCUCAAACCUUACCAACCCGAGCUUUGUGAAGCUUUC